GACCCCGUAGCUCAGAUGGAUAGAGCGGUAGUUUCCUAAACUGCAGGUCGCGUGUUCGAGUCACGCCGGGGUCGCCA
rnacentral:tRNA from 1 species